AGGUCCGUAGCUCAUGUCGGUAGAGCGCCCCCCAAGCCGGGGGGAGGUCAGGGGUUCAACUCCCCUCGGAUCGC
rnacentral:tRNA from 1 species